UAGAGCCGGAUGCAUCGAGAGGUGCUUGUCCGGCUCGACGGAGGCUUGCCGGAGUAAUCCUUCAAGAAUUGGAUUUCUUGAAGAGUAAUCCCGACAUUCUAUCCGAU
rfam:Candidatus Competibacter denitrificans Run_A_D11, WGS project CBTJ02000000 data, contig: COMPD11_2693_Contig_53